GUUUUAGUAAUUUAAAAAAAAAUAUUGGUCUUGUAAAUCAAAAAUAAAAAAAUCUUUUCUAAAACU
rnacentral:tRNA from 1 species